AGCCAAGCUACUAAGGGCGUGCGGUGGAUGCCUUGGCACCGAGAGGCGAUGAAGGACGUAGUUACCUGCGAUAAGCCACGGUUUGCUGGAAGCAAGCUACCCGUGGAUCUCCGAAUGGGGCAACCCCGCCUGGCAAACCCAGGCGAUUUCCGGCUGAAUACAUAGGCCGGGAAGGCGAACCGGGAGAACUGAAACAUCUCAGUACCCCGAGGAAAAGAAAGAAAAUCUCGACUCCGCUAGUAGUGGCGAGCGAACGCGGAACAGCCUAAACCACAAGUAUGUCAUAGACCGUAGUCGUUGUGCUUGUGGGGUAGCGGGACGCGAUGCCGGAGCGUUACGGAGCUCCGGGGAAGUUACCAAUCCAACCCUUAGCCGAACCGCGCUGGAUAAGCGCGACCAUAGACGGUGAUAGUCCGGUAGGCGAAAAGGGUUGGACUUCCCAUUCGUGUUCCCAAGUAGCGCGGGUCACGUGAAACCCCGUGUGAAUCCGGGAGGCCCAUCUCCCAAGGCUAAGUACUACUCGGUGACCGAUAGUGAACCAGUACCGUGAGGGAAAGGUGAAAAGCACCCCGAAAGGGGAGUGAAAGAGUACCUGAAACCGCAUGCCUACAAUCAGUGGGAGGACUAUGUUCGCGCAAGCGGACAGUCUGACCGCGUGCCUAUUGCAUAAUGAGCCAGCGAGUUACUCUGUGCAGCGAGAUGAAGGGCUUAUGGUCCAUAGUCGAAGCGAAAGCGAGUCUGAAUAGGGCGCACAGUUGCACGGAGUAGACCCGAAACCGGGUGAUCUAUCCAUGGCCAGGGUGAAGUCUCCGUAAAAGGAGAUGGAGGCCCCGACCAGUGGCAGUUGAAAAUGCCUUGGAUGAGCUGUGGAUAGGGGUGAAAGGCCAACCAAACUCGGAAAUAGCUGGUUCUCCCCGAAAUAGCUUUAGGGCUAGCGUCGUACGGUAAUUGGCGGGGGUAGAGCACUGAACGGGCUAGGGGUCUCACCAGACUACCGAACCCGAUCAAACUCCGAAUACCGCCAAUGGAACUACGGCAGUCAGACUACGUGAGAUAAGUUGCGUGGUCGAGAGGGAAAUAGCCCAGACCGUCAGCUAAGGUCCCUAAAUCCGGCUAAGUGGUAAAGGAUGUGUAGUCGCAUAGACAACCAGGAUGUUGGCUUAGAAGCAGCCAUUCAUUCAAAGAGUGCGUAACAGCUCACUGGUCGAGUGAUUAUGCGCCGAAAAUUCAACGGGGCUAAGCCGGGUACCGACGCUACGGGCUUCGCGCUAGACGCGGAGCGGUAGGGGAGCAUUCCAUGCCGGGUAGAAGCGUGACCGAGAGGACGCGUGGACUGCAUGGAAGCGAUCAUGCUGGCAUCAGUAACGAAAAGACAGGUGAAAAACCUGUCCGCCGAAAAUCCAAGGGUUCCCGUACAAGGUUAAUCCGGACGGGGUUAGUCGGAACCUAAGCCGAGGCCGACAGGCGUAGGCGAUGGAAAACAGGCACAAAGAUUCCUGUACCACCGUGUCACCGUUUGAGCGAUGGGGCGACGCAGGAGGAUAGGGCAGCCAUCUGACGGAUGGUGGUCUAAGCGUGCAGGAGGCCGUCCAGGCAAAUCCGGGCGGCAAUACUCCGAGGCGUAAAGGGACGUGGAUCCUUCGGGUGAAGCGGAUUGUCCGAUUCCACACUGCCAAGAAAACCCUCUAGCGAGGUGGCCGGUGUCCGUACCGUAAACCGACACAGGUGGAUGAGAAGAGUAUUCUAAGGCGCUCGGGUGAACUCUCCUUAAGGAACUCGACCAAUUAGCCCCGUAACUUCGGAAGAAGGGGUGCUUUGGCCGGUGAAGGGCUUGCCCCGUAAGCUGGCUGGAGUCGCAGUUAAGUGGCUCAGGCGACUGUUUAACAAAAACACAGGUCUCUGCUAAGUCGUAAGACGACGUAUAGGGACUGACGCCUGCCCAAUGCCGGAAGGUUAACGGGAGAAGUUAGCGAUAAUUCGUUAUUGCGAAGCUUUGAACCGAAGCCCUGGUUAAUGGCGGCCGUAACUAUAACGGUCCUAAGGUUAACGAUUCGCUAGCCUUAGUAAAACUGAACCAUAUGCGGGAAACUCCUCCAAAACCGCCCGGUACUCGCCGCGCAUCGCGGCAGUAAAAAUCCGGCGGUCAUGGGGACAAUCCGCAGGGAAGGCCUGGCGCGAGCCAGGAACCCUCAGAGACUUUACGUUCGGGAGUUUGCUUAUGAAACUUGAUGCACAAUGGAUUGCCGGUUUUGUUGACGGCGAAGGUUGUUUCUACGUGGGGAUCAAUCCACACGAGGAAAUGACGGCGGGAUUCCAAGUCCUGCCGGAAUUCACGGUUGUUCAACACAAGCGCGAUAUUCAGGUUCUCCAUGCACUCAAGGCCUAUUUCGGAUGCGGCGUGGUUCGAGUGAAUCACGGCGACCGGAUGGCGUACAGAGUCCGUGGGCAAAAGGAUUUGAGUGAACACAUUGUUCCAUUUUUCAACAAGCAUCCGCUGAAA
rnacentral:rRNA from 1 species